UAGAGGUCUUAAUAGCCAACAAGGACUGUUAUUAGAACGAAUAGUAAUAUGACUACUGUCACAUUUUGCAAAUGUGUAAAGAAGAAAGAGGGUUAAAUGAAUCAAAGGGAGACAGCCCCACUCACCCUGUUCUGCCCCAGAAGACUGAGAGAUCCCCACCAUCUGGGAAGCUGCCUCACCAGGAGUUCCAGCUGGGGCUACAGGACUGGCUACUUUGCUACAAUGGCCUGUCGUUCCUGAGCCCAGUGGAGAGUCCCAGUGGGGGCGGGAGUUAUUGAUAGGGGCAGUAGAGUUGUAGAGAAACUCUCUGAACUUCUGUGGAGGUCUGGUGCGGGGGAGGAGUGAACAGGUAAGAGGCUAGGUGGGGAUGCAGCAGAGGAAGGGGGCAGGAGUGUCCCAGGAGGGGGCGGUACUGAGGGAGUGAUUCAGCUGGGUCUGAGAGGGAGGGAAGGGUGAGGGGGAUAGCCCUUUGGAGUGGGCAGGGACAUGACCACAGAAAAUCUGGGAAGUGGAAACAGACAGGAACUUGCUGGAGUUCUUGGAGCUUUGUGUGGGGCACUGCGGGAAGAAGGUAGGCUCUCCACCCUGACCUGCCCCCACCUCCGGAUGAGGGUCUUCUCUGCCUGUUCGAUGAUGUGCUGCCCCUGCUCUUGGAGGAAGAGGCCUCCCAGCCACCCUCUCCUGCCAGUCUCCUUGCCCUGCUGACCCAGACAGAUCUGCUAUCCCUGCAGCAUCCAGGAAGGCCACAGGGAGGGGGCCCAGGUGGCAUGGGUUUCUGAGGCCUGAGAUCUGCUCUGAGUCCCGCUCUCACUAACCCCCUUUGCCCCUCUGUGACAGUGUGUGUACGUAUGUGUGCAUGUGUGUACCUGUGUGGUGUGGCUCACAAGGUCACCCCUGGGGGUGGGAUAAUAAGAGGUAAAGUGUGACCCCCCUCUUCCAUACAUUCAUACUUUUUUUUCAAACUUGUGAAUAUUCACAUUGUUAAUAAUUUUGUGCAUCCCAUGACUUCGAAUAGAGCACUUAGAUGCCGAUGACCCCCCACCAAAGAAACCCCACUGUCUCCCACAGACUCCAGGUCUGUAUCUGCAACUGCCUACUCAAUACAACAUGUCCACCUGAUGCAAUGAACUUAAUGUGUC